GUUUGUUUUAUUGUUUAUUGAACAUAAAACAUAUACAGUAAUAAUUUGACAGAAAAUAAGGUAGAUAAAAAAAGUAAAAAGAAAGAAAUCAGUCUUCAUUCAACACAGUUAUUAUGUUCAAGGGAGUAGGAUGAAGUAAAAAACUUAUCUAGUCCUACCCCGUUAUGUGUUUAUAUCUACUAAAUCAUUUUUAUAUCAAUCAGAAAAGAAAAAAAAAAAGUAAGAAGAAAGUCUCCAUUAAAGCUCAUACUUUACCCUUAACCGUGAUAUUUUUACAACUUUUGGUUUGUAUCGGGAUUAUAUACAUCCACACCCUGGCACUCUUGUGUCAAUUUUCUCUUGUAUUCAUAAUGAAUAUUUCAAUACCUUUCUCUAUUUAUCAACUUAGUUCUGAUUUAUCAUUAUAUUUAAGGUUUAGAAUUUAUCAUUUUAACUCUGAUUGAUGUAGGUUGUUUGUACUAUUUUUUUGAAUUUGUUUUUGAACUCAGCAAGCGAUUUACUCAUUUUCAGGUCUGUUUCGAAAUUAUUCCACAGAUUAACACCUUUGAUAGAUACACUUCUUUGCUUGAUGUUUGUUCUUGUUUUGAGUUUUUUGAAUAAGUUGGUACCUCUUAA